rnacentral:rRNA from 1 species
AUUGAACGCUGGCGGCAGGCCUAACACAUGCAAGUCGAGCGGAUGAAGGGAGCUUGCUCCUGGAUUCAGCGGCGGACGGGUGAGUAAUGCCUAGGAAUCUGCCUGGUAGUGGGGGAUAACGUCCGGAAACGGGCGCUAAUACCGCAUACGUCCUGAGGGAGAAAGUGGGGGAUCUUCGGACCUCACGCUAUCAGAUGAGCCUAGGUCGGAUUAGCUAGUUGGUGGGGUAAAGGCUUACCAAGGCGACGAUCCGUAACUGGUCUGAGAGGAGGAUCAGUCACACUGGAACUGAGACACGGUCCAGACUCCUACGGGAGGCAGCAGUGGGGAAUAUUGGACAAUGGGCGAAAGCCUGAUCCAGCCAUGCCGCGUGUGUGAAGAAGGUCUUCGGAUUGUAAAGCACUUUAAGUUGGGAGGAAGGGCAGUAAGUUAAUACCUUGCUGUUUUGACGUUACCAGCAGAAUAAGCACCGGCUAACUUCGUG